rnacentral:tRNA from 1 species
ACGCCCGUAGCUUAACGGACAGAGCUACCUUUUGCCGAAGGGUCCGAUGCGGGUUCAAAUCCCGCCGGGCGUG